AACCUAGCACACCUGCGGUGUGUACCUGCGGAGGGAUCAUUAACGAGUUACCACUCUAUAACCCUUCGUGAACAUACCUACAUGUUGCUUCGGCGGUCGGCCCCCCCGGGCCCCCGGCCCCGCUCACGCGGGGCGUCCGCCGGAGGAUAACCAAACUCUGAUUUAACGACGUUUCUUCUGAGUGGCACAAGCAAAUAAUCAAAACUUUCAGCAACGGAUCU
rnacentral:misc_RNA from 1 species